rnacentral:rRNA from 1 species
AGCGAACGCUGGCGGCAGGCCUAACACAUGCAAGUCGAGCGCCGUAGCAAUACGGAGCGGCAGACGGGAGAGUAACACGUGGGAACGUACCCUUUGGUUCGGAACAACCCAGGGAAACUUGGGCUAAUACCGGAUAAGCCCUCACGGGGAAAGAUUCAUCGCCGAAGGAUCGGCCCGCGUCUGAUUAGCUAGUUGGUGGGGUAAUGGCCCACCAAGGCGACGAUCAGUAGCUGGUCUGAGAGGAUGAUCAGCCUCACUGGGCCUGAGACACGGCCCAGACUCCUACGGGAGGCAGCAGUGGGGAAUAUUGGACAAUGGGCGCAAGCCUGAUCCAGCCAUGCCGCGUGGGUGAUGAAGGCCCUAGGGUUGUAAAGCCCUUUCGGCGGGGAAGAUAAUGACGGUACCCGCAGAAGAAGCCCCGGCUAACUUCGUGCCAGCAGCCGCCGUAACAC